GAUAAUGACAGUACCUGGUAAAGAAACCCCGGAUAACUCCGUGCCAGCAGACGCAGUAAUACGGAAGAGGUUAGCGUUGUUCGGAAUUACUGGGCGUAAAGCGCACGUAGGCGGACUAUUAAGUCAGAGGUGAAAUCCCGGGGCUCAACACCGGAACUGCCUUGAUUCCUGGUAGUCUUGAGUUCGAGAGAGGUGAGUGGAAUUCCGAUUGUAGAGGUGAAAUUCGGAGAUAUUCGGAGGGACACCUAGUGGCGAAGGCGGCUCACUGGCUCGAAACUGACGCUGAGGUGCGAAAGCGUGGGGAGCAUACAGGAUUAGAUACCCUGGUAGUCCACGCCGUAAACGAUGUAUGCCAGACGUCAGGGGGCUUGCCCUUUGGUGUCACACCUAACGGAUUAAGCAUUCCGCCUGGGGAGUACGUUCGCAAGAUUAUUACUCAAAGGAAUUGACGGGGGCCCGCACAACCGGUGGAGCAUGUGGUUUAAUUCGAAGCAACGCGCAGAACCUUACCAACCCUUGACAUCCCGAUCGCGGUUACCAGAGAUGGUUUCCUUCAGAUCGGCUGGAUCGGUGACAGGUACUGCAUGGCUGUCGUCAGCUCGUGUCGUGAGAUGUUCGGUUAAGUCCGGCAACGAGCGCAACCCACACCCUUAGUUGCCAGCAGUUCGGCUGGGCACUCUAAGGGAACUGCCCGUGAUAAGCGGGAGGAAGGUGUGGAUGACGUCAAGUCCUCAUGGCCCUUACGGGUUGGGCUACACACGUGCUACAAUGGUGCUCACAGUGAGUUAAUCUCCAGAAGGCAUCUCAGUUCGGAUUGGGGUCUGCAACUCGACCCCAUGAAGUCGGAAUCGCUAGUAAUCGCGUAACAGCAUGAC
rnacentral:rRNA from 1 species